CCAAAGUAGCAGCAUAGCCGGGAAGCCACUGCAGAGAACUCUUAAAUUGAAGGAUGCUAAAGUGUAGCUCUCCACAGAUAGUGGCUUCUGGUUGGGGUGCAGGGGAGGAGUCACAAGAGUGGGGAACAGACCUAGGAGGACUGCCAUGGCACACGUGGAGGUCAGAGGACAACUUGCGGGAGUUGUCCACCAUGUGGGUCCCACAGAUCAAACACAGAACAGGACGAAGCUUUAAAUGUCACCAGAAGAUGUAAAAGGGCAAAGAAGAGAGAAACAAAUGGAUUAUGACCAGGACAUCAGCGAGUCCUCAAGAGGUGCCGAGUGGGGAGAUCACCGGGGACAUCUGCUUCUGAGUGCCCUGCAGGUCCCUAGCAGGUGACAGUUGGAGGCAGUUGAUCUUGGAAGUAACUAGUCCUCUUUCCUAAAGCUCUCCAUCCUGAACCUUCUUCUGAAGGGAAAAAAAACCUAUUGUGUUGCUUCCCACCUCACAGGGACAAUAAUAUCUUGAGCAGGUACACCUUGAGUGCCUUUAAGGAUUUCACCAGAAUCAACCCGGUUCUUACCAAAACCUAGUGAGGAGGAAACAUCCUCCCGCUUGCUCGGAGAUGAAAAACAUUCAGGAGAUAAAGAUGGUGUUGACUGCACACAAUUGUAAAUGUGUUAAAUACCACAAAAUUUUAUACAGAGAGAAAGACAGAGAGACAGAGACAAACAGAGAGACAGAGACAAACAGAGAGAGACAGAGACAAACAGAGAGAGACAGAGAAACAGACAGACUGGGAAGGGGGGGGCGUGUUGAGGAGGAGCGGAGCAUGGAAGUGCACAUUUGUAAUCCUGGCAGUAAGGGGCUGAGAAUUAAGCAGUUCAAAGCAGACCAGUCUAUACAGAAAGAUAAUGUAUAAGACAAAA
rnacentral:lncRNA from 1 species